rnacentral:rRNA from 1 species
GGGGAAUCUUGCGCAAUGGGCGAAAGCCUGACGCAGCAAUGCCGCGUGAGUGAGGAAGGUCUUCGGAUUGUAAAGCUCUGUCAGAGUGGAAAAAUGGUGAGAGGUCUAAUAGGCCUAGCAAUUGAUGGUACACUCAGAGGAAGCACCGGCUAACUUCGUGCCAGCAGCCGCGGUAAUACGAAGGGUGCAAGCGUUGUUCGGAUUUAUUGGGCGUAAAGCGCGCGCAGGCGGAUCUUUAAGUCAGAUGUGAAAUCUCGGGGCCCAACCCCGAAACUGCGUCUGAAACUGGGGAUCUAGAAUGGCGUAGGGGGAAGGGGAAUUUCACAUGUAGGGGUAAAAUCCGUAGAGAUGUGAAGGAACACCAGAGGCGAAGGCGCCUUCCUGGACGCAUAUUGACGCUGAGGCGCGAAAGCGUGGGGAGCAAAC